UACGGAGGGUGCGAGCGUUGUUCGGAAUUACUGGGCGUAAAGCGCGUGUCGGCGGCUUGGCAAGUCAGAUGUGAAAUCCCCGGGCUCAACCCUGGAACGGCAUCUGAAACUACCUGGCUAGAGUCUCGGAGAGGAAGGCAGAAUUCCCGGUGUAGGGGUGAAAUCCGUAGAUACCGGGAGGAAUACCAGUAGCGAAGGCGGCCUUCUGGACGAUGACUGACGCUCAGACGCGAAAGCGUGGGGAGCAAACAGG
rnacentral:rRNA from 1 species